rnacentral:lncRNA from 1 species
CCCAAAUAAACACAAAACCCAGUAACAAACCGUCUAGAAUCAAGACACUUCCCCCGGUCUGAAUCAGCAUAAGCACUAAUAUUAAAAGACGUACCUUUGCUUAAUAAGAUUCCCUUACCUGGGGCACCUUUUAAAUACCUUAACAAUCUCAAAGCGAUUUGUAAAUGAGAAUUUGUAAAUCAACUUUCCAAUCAAUUUUUGAAAAUUUGUAAUGUUACUAAUAACAGACUCAUCCUUUUUGCAGAAAUUCAUGACAGUAUAAUGUUGUUCAAUAGGCGUACUUACAGCUUUACAUCCACUAAGACCAAAUUCAGCUAAAAGAUCCAUGCAAAAUUUUCUUUGAGAUAGACAUACUCCUUGUUCGUUCCUAAAAACUUCUAUACCAAGAAAGUAUUUUAACAAGCCAAGAUCUUUGAUUGAAAAACUUGUAUUUAGUAAUUGUUUCACUUUAUUUAUUUCUUCCGAGUUAUUCCCGGUGAUCACGAUGUCAUCAACAUAUACAAGCCAUACAAGGAUUUAUUUAGUUUACACACUUUUGUUUCAUGUUUAGAAAAGAAACCUUCAGGUAAGCACAUAUAAACCUCUUCAUUUAAACUACCAUAUAAAAACGCAUUGUUAAUAUCAAGUUGGAAAAGAGGCCAGUUUCUUUCGACAGCUAGACUUAUGAGGCACCGAACGGUAACCAUUUUUACAACCGGGGAAAAGGUUUCGUCAAAGUCAACCCCUUCUUUUUGACUAUACCCUUUGGCAACGAGUCUUGCUUUAUACCUCUCAAUUUCUCCUAUGGAUUUAUAUUUAAUUUUGUAGACCCACUUACAACCUAUUGGUUUUCUACCCUCGGGCAGAUCAACUAAGGUCCAUGUGUUGUUUCUAUUCAAUGCCUCCAUCUCUUCAUUCAUGGCGGUUACCCAGUUAGAAUCAUUUUUGGCUUCAUAAAGAUUUCUUGGUUCAAUGGAUUUAUUUAAACAUGAAGUAAAACAUUUAUUUUCAAAAGAUAAUUUGGAGUAGUUCACAACUUUUUCCAUCCCAUACUUUACUUUUCCCUCGAUAAUAAAGUCAUUAAAUUUCUUUGGUAUAGACGAGCUCCUAGUUGACCUUCUAAUAGGUUCACUAGGAUCAUUAGUUCCCUCAGGAGAGCUUGAGUUGUCAUUGGUAGUUUCAACAUUGUCAGCCUCGCCUGCACCUUCAUUAGUCCCCUGAGGCUGCUGCGAAGUAGCCAUGCCAUCAGGGGCUUGAUGGUCGGUGCUAGGCUGUUGAUCAAUGUCAACUACCUCACUAAAGGCCCUUUCCUCAUCAUUGGGUGUUUCACCAUUAGGCUCAUCAGGUUGUCUUGAAUCGAAAAAAUUAAAGAAAUUUAAAGAGUUUAGAAAACUAUCAUUUAUUGAAAGAUC